GUCUCCCUACGGGGCGCAGCAGUAGGGAAUCUUCCACAAUGGGCGAAAGCCUGAUGGAGCAACGCCGCGUGGGUGAAGAAGGUCUUCGGAUCGUAAAACCCUGUUGUUAGAGAAGAAAGUGCGUGAGAGUAACUGUUCACGUUUCGACGGUAUCUAACCAGAAAGCCACGGCUAACUACGUGCCAGCAGCCGCGGUAAUACGUAGGUGGCAAGCGUUAUCCGGAUUUAUUGGGCGUAAGGGGAACGCAGGCGGUCUUUUAAGUCUGAUGGGAAAGGCUUCGGCUUAACCGGAGUAGUGCAUUGGG
rnacentral:rRNA from 1 species